GCUGGGCAUGGUGGCGCGUGCCUGUAAUCCUAGCUACUCGGGAGGCUGAGGCAGGAGAAUUGCCUGAACCCAGAAGGCGGAGGUUGCGGUGAGCCGAGAUCGUCCCAUUACACUCCAGUCUGGGUAACAGCAGCGAAACUCUGUAUCAAAAAAUAAUAAUAAUAAUAAGCUAUUUCUAUAUCCCCAAACUUCUUUUCUUUUCUUUUCUUUUUUUUGAGAUGGAGUUUCACUCUUGUUACCCAGGCUGGAGUGCAAUGGCGCGAUCUCAGCUCAGCAAAACCUCCGCCUCCUGGGUUCAGGCAAUUCUCCUGCCUCAG
ensembl:misc_RNA Metazoa_SRP Metazoan signal recognition particle RNA